ACGUAGGGUGCGAGCGUUAAUCGGAAUUACUGGGCGUAAAGCGUGCGCAGGCGGUUCGCUAAGUCAGGUGUGAAAUCCCCGGGCUUAACCUGGGAAUGGCGCUUGAGACUGGCGGGCUGGAGUACGGCAGAGGGGGGUGGAAUUCCACGUGUAGCGGUGAAAUGCGUAGAGAUGUGGAGGAAUACCGAUGGCGAAGGCAGCUCCCUGGGAUGAUACUGACGCUGAUGCACGAAAGCGUGGGGAGCAAACAG
rnacentral:rRNA from 1 species